UGCAUGCAGUCGACGAGGUCGCUCCUUCGGGGGCUAAACCUAGUGGCAGACGGCUGAGUAACGCGUGGGUGACCUGCCCCCGAGAACGGGAUAACUGCGGGAAACUGCAGCUAAUACCGUAUACAUUCCCGUGCUUCAAGGCGCGGGAAGAAAUGAUUUAUCGCUCGGGGAUGGGCCCGCGUCCUAUCGGGUAGUUGGUGCGGUAACGGCGUACCAAGCCUUAAACGGGUAUCUGGUGUGAGAGCAUGACCAGACAGAGGGGGACUGAGACACGGCCCCCACUCCUCCGGGAGGCAGCAGCAAGGGAUCGUGCACAAUGGGCGAAAGCCUGAUGCCGCGACGCCGCGUGAGGGAUGACGGCUUUCGAGUUGUAAACCUCUUUUCUCAGGGAAGAGAGAGGACGUCACCUGAGGAAUAAGUCAUGGCUAACUACGUGCCAGCAGCAGCGGUAAUACGUAGGUGGCAAGCGUUGUCCGGAAUUACUGGGCGUAAAGGGUCCGUAGGCGGUUCGGUCAGUCUUCUGUGAAAGCUCCAGGCUCAACUUGGAGUCGUCGGGAGAAACUGCCGAACUAGAGACUGUCAGAGGCAGGUGGAAUUCCCGGUGUAGUGGUGAAAUACGUAGAUAUCGGGAGGAACACCAGUGGCGAAAGCGGCCUGCUGGGGCAGUUCUGACGCUAAGGGACUAAAGCGUGGGGAGCGAACCGGACUAGAUACCCGGGUAGUCCACGCCCUAAACGAUGAAUGCUAGGUCCCCGGGGUGUUAAUUCCCUGUGGGCCAAAGGUAACCCAUUAAGCAUUCCGCCUGGGGACUACGGCCGCAAGGCUAAAACUCAAAGGAAUUGACGGGUCCCCGCACAAGCAGCGGAGCGUGUGGUUUAAUUCGAUGAUAAGCGAAGAACCUUACCUAGGCUUGACAUGUUUGGUGGUACCGAACC
rnacentral:rRNA from 1 species